UACGUAGGGUGCAAGCGUUGUCCGGAAUUAUUGGGCGUAAAGAGCUCGUAGGCGGUUCGUCGCGUCGGCUGUGAAAACCCGGAGCUCAACUCCGGGCCUGCAGUCGAUACGGGCGGACUUGAGUUCGGCAGGGGAGACUGGAAUUCCUGGUGUAGCGGUGAAAUGCGCAGAUAUCAGGAGGAACACCGGUGGCGAAGGCGGGUCUCUGGGCAUUAACUGACGCUGAGGAGCGAAAGCAUGGGGAGCGAACAGG
rnacentral:rRNA from 1 species